rnacentral:rRNA from 1 species
GACAGAGGUCCCGAGCGUUAGGCGGAAUCACUGGGCUUAAAGCGUGUGUAGGCGGACUUCUAAGUACCUUGUGAAAUCCCACGGCUUAACCGUGGAACUGCUGGGUAUACUGGUUGUCUUGGGCCAUCUAGGGGCUACUGGAACAAACGGUGGAGCGGUGAAAUGCGUAGAUAUCGUUUGGAACGCCAAUGGUGAAAACAAGUAGCUGGGGAUGUGCCGACGCUGAGACACGAAAGCCAGGGGAGCGAACGGG